GACGAACGCUGGCGGCGUGCUUAACACAUGCAAGUCGAACGGUGAAGCGCCUUCCUUUUUGGUGGGUGUGGAUGAGUGGCGAACGGGUGAGUAACACGUGAGUAACCUGCCCCCUUCUUCUGGAUAACCGCAUGAAAGUGUGGCUAAUACGGGAUAUUCUGGGUCUGUCGCAUGAUGGGUCUGGGAAAGAUAUUGUUUCGGUGGGGGAUGGGCUCGCGGCCUAUCAGCUUGUUGGUGGGGUGAUGGCCUACCAAGGCGGUGACGGGUAGCCGGCCUGAGAGGGUGGACGGUCACGCUGGGACUGAGCCACGGCCCAGACUCCUACGGGAGGCAGCAGUGGGGAAUAUUGCACAAUGGGCGCAAGCCUGAUGCAGCGACGCCGCGUGAGGGAUGGAGGCCUUCGGGUUGUGAACCUCUUUCGCCAGUGAAGCAGGCCUGCCUCGUUUGUGGGUGGGUUGACGGUAGCUGGAUAAGAAGCGCCGGCUAACUACGUG
rnacentral:rRNA from 1 species